rnacentral:rRNA from 1 species
UACGUAGGGGGCAAGCGUUGUCCGGAAUCAUUGGGCGUAAAGCGCACGUAGGCGGCCCGGUAAGUCCGUUGUGAAAGUCAGAGGCUCAACCUCUGGAGGCCAAUGGAUACUGCCGGGCUAGAGUCCGGAAGAGGCGAGUGGAAUUCCUGGUGUAGCGGUGAAAUGCGCAGAUAUCGGGAAGAACACCCGUGGCGAAGGCGGCUCUCUGGGACGGUACUGACGCUGAGACGCGAAAGCGUGGGGAGCGAACAGG